rnacentral:rRNA from 1 species
CCUACGGGUGGCUGCAGUGGGGAAUAUUGGACAAUGGGCGAAAGCCUGAUCCAGCCAUGCCGCGUGUGUGAAGAAGGCCUUCGGGUUGUAAAGCACUUUCAGUGGGGAAGAAAGCCUUGGGGCUAAUACCCUCGAGGAAGGACAUCACCCACAGAAGAAGCACCGGCUAACUCCGUGCCAAGCAGCCGCGGUAAUACGGAGGGUGCGAGCGUUAAUCGGAAUUACUGGGCGUAAAGCGCGCGUAGGCGGUCUGAUAAGCCGGUUGUGAAAGCCCCGGGCUCAACCUGGGAACGGCAUCCGGAACUGUCAGGCUAGAGUGCAGGAGAGGAAGGUAGAAUUCCCGGUGUAGCGGUGAAAUGCGUAGAGAUCGGGAGGAAUACCAGUGGCGAAGGCGGCCUUCUGGACUGACACUGACGCUGAGGUGCGAAAGCGUGGGUAGCAAACAGGAUUAGAUACCCGAGUAGUC